rnacentral:rRNA from 1 species
GACGAACGCUGGCGGCGUGCUUAACACAUGCAAGUCGAACGGAAAGGCCCUGCUUUUGUGGGGUGCUCGAGUGGCGAACGGGUGAGUAACACGUGAGUAACCUGCCCUUGACUUUGGGAUAACUUCGGGAAACUGGGGCUAAUACCGGAUAGGAGCUCCUGCUGCAUGGUGGGGGUUGGAAAGUUUCGGCGGUUGGGGAUGGACUCGCGGCUUAUCAGCUUGUUGGUGGGGUAGUGGCUUACCAAGGCUUUGACGGGUAGCCGGCCUGAGAGGGUGACCGGCCACAUUGGGACUGAGAUACGGCCCAGACUCCUACGGGAGGCAGCAGUGGGGAAUAUUGCACAAUGGGCGGAAGCCUGAUGCAGCAACGCCGCGUGCGGGAUGACGGCCUUCGGGUUGUAAACCGCUUUCGCCUGUGACGAAGCGUGAGCGACGGUAAUGGGUAAAGAAGCACCGGCUAACUACGUG